rnacentral:rRNA from 1 species
AUGAAGCCGGAAUUGCUAGUAAUGGCAGGUCAGCAUACUGCCGUGAAUACGUUCCCGGGCCUUGUACACACCGCCCGUCACACCAUGAGAGUUGGGAAUACCCGAAGCCUGUGAGCUAACGAAAGAGGCAGCAGUCGAAGGUAGAAUCAAUGAUUGGGGUGAAGUCGUAACAAGGUACC